UACGAAGGGGGCUAGCGUUGUUCGGAAUCACUGGGCGUAAAGCGCACGCAGGCGGAUUGAUAAGUCAGGGGUGAAGUCCCGGGGCUCAACCUCGGAAUUGCCUUUGAUACUGUCUGUCUUGAGUUCGGGAGAGGUUGGCGGAAUUCCUAGUGUAGAGGUGAAAUUCGUAGAUAUUAGGAAGAACACCAGUGGCGAAGGCGGCCAACUGGCCCGAUACUGACGCUCAUGUGCGAAAGCGUGGGGAGCAAACAGG
rnacentral:rRNA from 1 species